rnacentral:rRNA from 1 species
GACGUAGGGGGCCAGCGUUGCUCGGAAUUACUGGGCGUAAAGGGUUCGUAGGCGGUGCGGCAAGUCGGGAGUGAAAUCUCUGGGCUUAACUCAGGGGCUGCUUCCGAAACUGCCGUGCUUGAGUGCGGGAGAGGCGAGUGGAAUUGCAGGUGUAGCGGUGAAAUGCGUAGAUAUCUGCAGGAACACCCGUGGCGAAGGCGGCUCGCUGGACCGCAACUGACGCUGAGGAACGAAAGCUAGGGGAGCAAACAGG